ACCAUUUUAGUAAAAUAAAUUAUAUCAUCUUGAUAAGGUGGAGUUCCUAGGAAGUGGUA
rnacentral:tRNA from 1 species